CAUCGCCGACGUUGCAGACCGCUCGCUCUCCCUGGUCCAGCCCUCGGCACCGGAUCGGGCUUCGUCGCCGCGUCUGUGGCCGGACGGCGGCGACGCAGUUCCUCUCGCGGACGUAGUCUGAGUCCUCCCCCUCCCACACGACGCGCGCGGAGCCCGGCCCGGCGCCGCCGCAGACGAGAGAUUAGACAGAAAGAUUAUUCUCUGUGUGUGUGUGUGUGUGUGUUUCGCUGAUGAUUGCUAGUCGUGUGUGCUUCGCUGCUGCUCUCAUUUUCUUUGUCGGUAUCUUGUUGAUUGCUAACUGUUAAUAUGAGAACAGGUAAGUUAAAGAUGCAUCGCUUGAUUCAUUCGGUGAUCCUCUUUCCAUUAGUUUUAUUUCCAUUUCCUAAUGCCUGCCCCUACCUUGAAGUUUCCAAAUGCUAAUCCAGUUCAGCUUCUCGGACUAGCGUGCCUCGGAAUCCAAACAAGGAGCAGCUUCGGAACGGGUCCUUAUUCCCGGAGAUCAUGAAACAAUACAUCAGAAGACUACCCAGAGGCGAAGGCCGUUAUCGGUGACACGACUGAAUCCAUACCAAGCAUCACCACAUCGGCUAUGGCCAUGGGAUUUGUCUACAUACCAGCCGGGUGGGAGUAAUCUUGCAGCUAGCAGAGGGCAGGUCCGAAAUCAGUCGAUGCUAUCUUGUCACCGAGAGGUGGAAGCGGCUGCAGGCCGCUGGCGAAGCAAGGAAUUGACGGCAGAAAUGGCAGGAGG